CCUACGGGAGGCAGCAGUGGGGAAUAUUGCACAAUGGGGGAAACCCUGACGCAGCAACGCCGCGUGAACGAGACGCCCUUUGGGGUGUAAAGUUCUGUCAGUGGGGAAGAAAGAUGACGGUACCUACCGAGGAAGCACCGGCUAACUCCGUGCCAGCAGCCGCGGUAAUACGGAGGGUGCAAGCGUUGUCCGGAAUCAUUGGGCGUAAAGAGAUCGUAGGCGGUAUGUUAAGUCUGGUGUUAAAUGCAGGAGCUCAACUUCUGUACGGCACUGGAUACUGGCAAACUAGAGUGCGGUAGAGGUAAGGGGAAUUCUUGGUGUAGCGGUGAAAUGCUUAGAUAUCAGGAGGAACACCGGUGGCGUAGGCGCUUUACUGGGCCGUAAUUGACGCUGAGGAACGAAAGCCAGGGUAGCAAAUGGGAUUAGAUACCCUAGUAGUC
rnacentral:rRNA from 1 species